rnacentral:rRNA from 1 species
GAUGAACGCUGGCGGCGUGCCUAAUACAUGCAAGUCGAGCGAACAGACGAGGAGCUUGCUCCUCUGACGUUAGCGGCGGACGGGUGAGUAACACGUGGAUAACCUACCUAUAAGACUGGGAUAACUUCGGGAAACCGGAGCUAAUACCGGAUAAUAUCUUGAACCGCAUGGUUCAAUAGUGAAAGACGGUUUUGCUGUCACUUAUAGAUGGAUCCGCGCCGCAUUAGCUAGUUGGUAAGGUAACGGCUUACCAAGGCAACGAUCCGUAGCCGACCUGAGAGGGGGAUCGGCCACACUGGAACUGGGACACGGUCAAGACUCCUACGGGAGGCAGCAGAAGGGAAUCUUCGGCAAUGGGCGAAAGCCUGACGGAGCAACGCCGCGUGAGUGAUGAAGGUCUUCGGAUCGUAAAACUCUGUUAUUAGGGAAGAACAAAUGUGGAAGUAACUAUGCACGUCGUGACGGUACCUAAUCAGAAAGCCACGGCUAACUACGUG